rnacentral:tRNA from 1 species
UGUAGCUCAGUGGUAGAGUACUUGUCUGGUGUGUACAAGGCCCUGGGUUCAAUUUCCAGCA